CCUUUCUACGGAGUUAUUCAGGCCUCUGCUUGGAGGCCGGUGUGGGCCGGACGGCCGGGACGGUCCCGGUUGGUUUCCGGUCGCUGGUGUGGAAGAGAUCGUUGGCUUUCGGCCUGUCCGUCGUGGGAUGGCCGUGGAGUGGUGCGGAUGCGCUUUUGGGCUCCCGGAUCGCCACCCCGAGACGUUGGUCUCGGCGCGGUUCGGUGCCCCGUGGGUCUGGUCGCCCGGUUUGGUUUCCGGUCGGCUGGUCGUGCGGGUGCGUGGUGGUUUGAGAACUGGAUAGUGGACGCGAGCAAGAAACAUGCUUCGGCUUGUUUUUUGCUGUUGAUUUCGUUCGGACUCCGAACAGUUUUGUUUGGUGUUCGUUCCGAUCGUUUUGUGAUCUGAUGUAGUGUCGAUUGAUUUGUCGUCUGGCAGCAUUGUUGCGUUGCGCGGGUG
rnacentral:misc_RNA from 1 species